UACGGAGGGUGCAAGCGUUAUCCGGAUUCACUGGGUUUAAAGGGUGCGUAGGUGGGCAGGUAAGUCAGUGGUGAAAUCUCCGGGCUUAACUCGGAAACUGCCAUUGAUACUAUCUGUCUUGAAUACCGUGGAGGUUAGCGGAAUAUGUCAUGUAGCCGUGAAAUGCUUAGAUAUGACAUAGAACACCAAUUGCGAAGGCAGCUGGCUACACGAAUAUUGACACUGAUGCACGAAAGCGUGGGGAUCAAACAGG
rnacentral:rRNA from 1 species